AUGGAGUACUGCAAUGCAAUAUCUGCGGCAUAUGGUUGUUAUGGUAGCCUGAAUUUUAUAGAUGGCGGCAAAGCUCUCAACAAUUCUUUUAGUUCCCAGUCCAUUAUAUAUCUUUCUAGUAUAACUGUACAUAACAUUUCUAAAGCAACCAUGUUUAUCUUGCUUUUAUAUGUAAGUAGUAUAUAUGAUCCCUACUUUAGUGUCUGGAUGAACAUGCGUUGCCAGGGUAAUUAUUUCUACAGUCGAGUACUGAUGGGCUGGUGUUUUGAACUUGGCUCUCUUUUCUUUAAACUGUAUCGUCUUUUUGUCCUGUCCAUUUCUUUUAUGCUGACAUAA
rnacentral:rRNA from 1 species